GAUGAACGCUGGCGGCGUGCCUAGUACAUGCAAGUCGAGCGAACAGACGAGGAGCUUGCUCCUCUGACGUUAGCGGCGGACGGGUGAGUAACACGUGGAUAACCUACCUAUAAGACUGGGAUAACUUCGGGAAACCGGAGCUAAUUCCGGAUAAUAUAUUGAACCGCAUGGUUCAAUAGUGAAAGACGGUUUUGCUGUCACUUAUAGAUGGAUCCGCGCCGCAUUAGCUAGUUGGUAAGGUAACGGCUUACCAAGGCAACGAUGCGUAGCCGACCUGAGAGGGUGAUCGGCCACACUGGAACUGAGACACGGUCCAGACUCCUACGGGAGGCAGCAGUAGGGAAUCUUCCGCAAUGGGCGAAAGCCUGACGGAGCAACGCCGCGUGAGUGAUGAAGGUCUUCGGAUCGUAAAACUCUGUUAUUAGGGAAGAACAAAUGUGUAAGUAACUAUGCACGUCUUGACGGUACCUAAUCAGAAAGCCACGGCUAACUACGUG
rnacentral:rRNA from 1 species